GGAUAGCUCAGUUGGUUAGAGUGUGGUGCUGGUAAUGCCAAGGUUGCAGGUUUGAACCCUGUAAGGGGCAGCU